rnacentral:lncRNA from 1 species
GGCUUCUCUGCGCUCCCUAAACAACCCAACCCAAGAAGUGUUACUGGAGUUUGGAGCAGGGGAGUAGUUUAGACCAGCUAAACAGACGACAGAAAUAAGGAGAGCUCUUUACCAGCGGUUUGCAGGGAUCUGGAGAGGUGACGAGAAGGCUGGAGAAGACAGAGUGGAGUGGAGCUGAGGGUGGAAAGGGUGGUGAGUCAGCAGACUGAAUGGUGUGGGCGGCGGCCAUUACUGAAAGACUAUACAGGGAAAGACACCAAAAGCCGCUUUAGCAGCAGAGAAAGAAAGAUUCUUAUCUGGUGAAAACAAGCCAGAAAUCUUUGUUUUAUGAUGUCCAAUGCCGCAAGUGGUUCGAAACAUAGUGAAUCGUGAUCCCGGAUAUACCCACUGUUUUGUGAAAUUCUUCUUCAGCACAGCAGAAGGAUACAGAAAUGCUUCAUAAACCCAUCUAUAUUGUGAAUGGAAUUGUAUAACACAAUGCUAUGGAGGAGUGGUCAUGAAGUUAUGUAACCACUGCUCUUUGGGAUGGAGACAGAAAAUCCCGAGUGGUUUCAGUAAGGUGUGGUUUUUUUUUUUUUGUUUAACUUGAGUGAUUUGCUUCAUGCUUAAGUUAAUGGCUUCACUGGCCGUCUUAAACAUGUCUGAGAUGUGGUUCUGUGCUCCGUCAACCUGAGCACCCAGCAGCAUGAUGGUACGUUUCCGUUCAGAAAUCAGAUCUUGGCAAAGCUUGUCAAACCGUGCUACCAUCUCUUUGUCCAAAGAAUUUCAACAAUCGCUUCAUCUACAUUUGGUUGCUUUGCUGCUUUUGUUGCCACUGUGAGGCCCUCAACAUCCUUCGAUAGCCUGGACUUUGUGGUAGUAUUUUUCGAUUCAAAGUACAAUUGAUAGUUAUUUUCUUGAUGGCUUUGAGUUCUUUGCUGUAUGCUCAAUCCAAUACUGAUAAAGUAUUGGAUCAGAGGUGUUUUUAAGAUUUUUAUUGUGGUGGUGAACAGAGCCUCCAUCUUUAGUCGAUGACCCUCCCAAGGAAUUUGUGAAUAAAUGAGAUGAUGAUCAAUGUGUAUUUUCAUAGAAAUACUUCACUGUGAGGUAGUUUAUUUUUAAUCAAUAAAAUAUUUCAGACCUUUAAAGUUGAGAGUCCUGAUUAAUUACCCUACCCUUUUUUUUUUUUUUUUUUGCUAUUGACAGGCAUUACUUGAGAUACAUAUGUCGUGCUUCCUGACUUACUUUUGGAUAUUGAGGCAGUUUGGCAAAAGAAGUUAAUGAACUCAAAAUAUAUGGUAGUUCAGAUGUUAACAUGGAUAAGAGCUGUUUUGGCUGGCACAAAAUGCAAUAGCUUGUUUUUGUUAAAAAGAUUUAGGAAACCGCUUGUGUAGGAAGACCUAGCAGAAACAACAAUCUGCUGUCACUCUGUGGACACGUGGCAUUGCAGAUUUUUUUAAAAAUUAAAAACCCCAUACAUACGUAAUUUUAUUUGUAUGCCACCUUUACACAGUUCAGUCCAUGCACAAGGCAGCUUACAACAUUAAACAAUACAUAACCACAAUAUAACAAAAGUAGCCAUCAACAAUAAACAAAAUGCUAAAAAAGAAAGCCAUAACCAACCAAAUUGAGCAAUUUCCACAUAAAACACGACGAGAUCCAAAAUAGAUUCAAAAAACUUAACAGCAACAACCCCACCCAAAAGUCCCUAAGCAACACCCCAGCCCUCAAAGAAUCCCGCUUCUUCCAUUUUUAGGCCAUUUAUCCCUGCCCUGCAGUUUUCCUCUUUCUACAAUGGUUCCACCCAGCUGUCACCGUUUGCACGUGCACAGUCCUCCCACAAUUUCAAAAAGUGGAGAAGGGUGGAAACACACACACACACACACACCCUUUCUUUUCUCCUGCUUACACAUGCCUGCUGCCCAGCUCUUGCACCUUUCCUUCCUCUGAGGGAGGGCUGUGUCAGAAGGUCACGGGGCACCUUCUGUCCUUAGGUUGGGACCCAGGUAGUUGUCACGUGGGAAGUGGUCUAUUUGGGCAAAUGGAGCACUGCCUCACCAACUUCCAUCCUCCAUGUUGCCCUCCUCCUUGCAAGCAGCUCAGGAGAUGGCACUGUCUCGCCCUUGGGCAACUCAAUAGGGAGGAGAAGGAGGAUGGAGUUGAAACAUUAGUUGGCUCUGUCAUUGACUAUUGCUGCGCCUACGGACGGUUUCCCUACCUUCUGUCUUACCAGUUCCAGUUGGCAGCAGUCACACCUGGGUGUGGAUGAUCUAUAAACAAAUACCCCGGCUUUUUUAAGGCUUAAAAGCAAUCAUGGGCCUGACAGUGGGAGGAGAGGAUGAAUAAUUUCCUCCUUCCCAUGUAUAAAUCGUCCCUUGAAACUCUUAUUAACAUGGAGUGGAGGGAGAAGUCAGCUACAGUAGAGAUACCUGUCUCUUCCCUGCACUGUGGCAUUAGGGCCAAGACUGUGAGAGUCUUCUUGAGGGUGGGCUCUUUGAAGCUCUCCAGUAGAGUCGUCUAGAAGAACAUCAGAGUUUUCUUGCUUUUCAGUAGUCAGCCUUUUCCCAGAGAUCCCAGUUAAGAUAACACCUUUCCCACUCAGUUCAGUUUAGAGCAUAAAGUGUUCAUUGUCUCGUGGCACAAGAGAAGCAUAAACACACUAGCUACAUAAACUACAUAGCUACAUGAACUUUUAAGAGGUGCUGGUACGUCAUGAACUAAUAUACUAUAAUACAGUUCUCCUAGUCUUCGACACAAAAUAGAAAUAUAGAGAGAUCCACAGACAGAGGAACAUCAUGCAUGUCCCUGCCCCAGUUUUUAUUUCUAUUUUUUAGAAGAAAGGUAGAAUAUAAACAUAUUGAUUAAGUAAUGGUAUAAGUUGAGUGCUUGGUCAGAAGGAGUUUGUGUGCAAAAGCUGUGCUACACAUUUUCAAUGUAAUUCAAUACUGAGAAGAGGGAUAGGAGAGAAAUUGAGUUUGGUUUGCGGUUAAUGUGACCCCCCCACCACCUGUUUUUGCACAUUCCUAACCCCAUGUGCAAACCAGAACAUAUCAUUUGAAAUUCUAACUUGAGGUGCUGUUCUCCAGCCCAAAAGUGGGGUGGGUGGGUGAAAAUUCAUUAUAUUAGGAAACGUUGUCAUUAACAAUGCAUUAUAUAUGGGAGAAUUGCUUGCAAACUAGUAGAGAAACCCAUGAAAAUGCAUCUAUGGGAAACUUCCACAAGAGGGUGCCCGUGCAUUUUGCAAGAAAGCUGCAGAACCAACAUAUUCUAACCUGGUAGCAACUCUUCUCUUAAUGCUGCUAAAACCACUCUUGUCAUUCUACUGGGGUAUAAACUGUACUAUGGACAGUGUUUUUGGAAAACACUGUCAUUUAUAGAUCUCCCCCCCCCCCCCCGUUGAGAUGCCAUUUCACGUAAACAUGGCAGCUGUGAAGAUUAAUAAUAUUUUCUUUGCAAUAAUGUUUAUAUCCUGCCUGUGCACAAGUGCAGAUAUGCUUGCUGGUUUAACCCAAAUGCCCCUGUUGUCAGGCCAUCCCCUCG